AUGUAACUAAAUGCACGGAUAAUCCGUUCUUCGCCAACUGCGACCUGAUCGUGCGCAGCAAGUUCUGCAGGCACAAGUAUUAUUCCAAGUUCUGUUGUAAGUCGUGCGUGGAGGCAGGCCAGCUCGACCCUCAGGAGGCAGAGGUUCAGGCAGACCAGCCCUUGAUGAAGAAGAAGUAGACGGCUGCGCAGCACCGUACAUAGUAUAAGUGCGGCCAGACGCGACCGACAGCGACGUUAGGAUAGAAAUAAUACUCAACACUACUUAAUCAUGUAAAGUUAAGUUGAAAUGUUAAUGAAUGAAUGCCAAUGACUUGAACAGCAUCACAUGCUGCCGUCUGUGUAAAUGUAUUGUCUUUACAGUUAGUUAUGCUAACUGCAAAGGUGAUUAGUUGUACGUGUAUCUUACUUCGUUACCCGCUCUCCUGUCGGUCGCUAGUCCUGGUACAUUCGUUAUUGUUUCAUGUGCCAUAAUGUAAUAGAAUGUUACUCGUGUGCAGCGCCCCACGGCGCUCCACAGCGCGCAUGUACGACCACGCAAUCAUACCAAUAGAUUUAAUGUAGAUAGGUAUUACUUGAACAAAACUAUUUUUAUGUAAAUAAAUAUUUUUAAAUAUGUCACAAACUCCAUCUGUGAUGGAAUAUUUUGAGUAAUUUUACAAUUUCUAUAGUUAGUUAGUCAGAAAGAAUAUUAUAGUAAAUAAAUUAUUUAUACAAUAAGUUGUCUAAUAAAGUGAAUGUUUAGCUCGUAGGGUGGCUAGUUGACAGUCAUAAUAAUUUGUUUAAGUGGAAUCCUUUUCUAUAAUUGUGACGAUGUAAAUAGAUGGACAAUAAAAAACGUAUUAGCAAAA